rnacentral:rRNA from 1 species
UACGGGGGGGGGCAAGCGUUGUUCGGAAUUACUGGGCGUAAAGGGCUCGUAGGCGGCCAACUAAGUCAGACGUGAAAUCCCUCGGCUUAACCGGGGAACUGCGUCUGAUACUGGAUGGCUUGAGUUUGGGAGAGGGAUGCGGAAUUCCAGGUGUAGCGGUGAAAUGCGUAGAUAUCGGGAGGAACACCAGUGGCGAAGGCGGCGUCCUGGACCGGUGCUGACGCUGAGGAGCGAAAGCGUGGGGAGCGAUCCGG